rnacentral:rRNA from 1 species
AAAUUGAAGAGUUUGAUCAUGGCUCAGAUUGAACGCUGGCGGCAGGCCUAACACAUGCAAGUCGAACGGUAACAGGAAGAAGCUUGCUUCUUUGCUGACGAGUGGCGGACGGGUGAGUAAUGUCUGGGAAACUGCCUGAUGGAGGGGGAUAACUACUGGAAACGGUAGCUAAUACCGCAUAACGUCGCAAGACCAAAGAGGGGGACCUUCGGGCCUCUUGCCAUCGGAUGUGCCCAGAUGGGAUUAGCUUGUUGGU